CCUCGAAUCAGGUAGGAAUACCCGCUGAACUUAAGCAUAUCAAUAAG
rnacentral:rRNA from 1 species